rnacentral:rRNA from 1 species
AACGAACACUGGCGGCGUGCCUAACACAUGCAAGUCGUGCGAGAAAGUUCCUUCGGGAGCGAGUAAAGCGGCGCACGGGUGAGUAACACGUAGGUAACCUGCCCCCCAGUCUGGAACAACUAGAGGAAACUCUAGCUAAUGCCGGAUGAGACCACGAUCCCUUCGGGGGUUGCGGCCAAAGAUGGCCUCUACUUGUAAGCUAUCGCUGAGGGAUGGGCCUGCGGGCCAUUAGCUUGUUGGUGAGGUAACGGCUCACCAAGGCUGUGAUGGCUAGCUGGUCUGAGAGGAUGACCAGCCACACUGGGACUGAGACACGGCCCAGACUCCUACGGGAGGCAGCAGUGGGGAAUAUUGCGCAAUGGGCGAAAGCCUGACGCAGCGACGCCGACGUGGGUGA